GACGAACGCUGGCGGCGUGCUUAACACAUGCAAGUCGAACGGAAAGGCCCUGCUUUUGUGGGGUGCUCGAGUGGCGAACGGGUGAGUAACACGUGAGUAACCUGCCCUUGACUUUGGGAUAACUUCAGGAAACUGGGGCUAAUACCGGAUAGGAGCUCCUGCUGCAUGGUGGGGGUUGGAAAGUUUCGGCGGUUGGGGAUGGACUCGCGGCUUAUCAGCUUGUUGGUGGGGUAGUGGCUUACCAAGGCUUUGACGGGUAGCCGGCCUGAGAGGGUGACCGGCCACAUUGGGACUGAGAUACGGCCCAGACCCCUACGGGGGGGAGGAGGGGGGAAUAUUGCAAAAUGGGCGGAAGCCUGAUGCAGCAACGCCGCGUGCGGGAUGACGGCCUUCGGGUUGUAAACCGCUUUCGCCUGUGACGAAGCGUGGGUGACGGUAAUGGGUAAAGAAGCACCGGCUAACUACGU
rnacentral:rRNA from 1 species